rnacentral:rRNA from 1 species
AUUGAACGCUGGCGGCAUGCUUUACACAUGCAAGUCGAACGGUAACAGGUUAAGCUGACGAGUGGCGAACGGGUGAGUAAUGCAUCGGAACGUGCCCGAUCGUGGGGGAUAACGCAGCGAAAGCUGCGCUAAUACCGCAUACGAUCUGAGGAUGAAAGCGGGGGACCGUAAGGCCUCGCGCGAUCGGAGCGGCCGAUGUCAGAGUAGGUAGUUGGUGGGGUAAAGGCCCACCAAGCCGACGAUCUGUAGCUGGUCUGAGAGGACGACCAGCCACACUGGGACUGAGACACGGCCCAGACUUCUACGGGAGGCAGCAGUGGGGAAUUUUGGACAAUGGGCGAAAGCCUGAUCCAGCAAUGCCGCGUGCAGGAAGAAGGCCUUCGGGUUGUAAACUGCUUUUGUACGGAGCGAAAAGGUCCUUUCUAAUACAAGGGGCUCAUGGCGGUACCGUAAGAAUAAGCACCGGCUAACUACGUGCCAGCAGCCGCCGCCG